rnacentral:ribozyme from 1 species
AAAUGGAUUCUGUAACUGAAACGCUCGCACUUGUGUUCACGCCGGCAAUUAAUCCAAUCGUCCUCGUUUGAUUUGAGGACUAAACGUGAUAGAAGAAUAGUAUACAUGUUUCAUAUAUAAAGUAAAGAUAAUUCUCAACUGUGUUAA